rnacentral:rRNA from 1 species
GGACGAACGCUGGCGGCGUGCUUAACACAUGCAAGUCGAACGGAAAGGCCCUGCUUUUGUGGGGUGCUCGAGUGGCGAACGGGUGAGUAACACGUGAGUAACCUGCCCUUGACUUUGGGGUAACUUCAGGAAACUGGGGCUAAUACCGGAUAGGAGCUCCUGCUGCAUGGUGGGGGUUGGAAAGUUUCGGCGGUUGGGGAUGGACUCGCGGCUUAUCAGCUUGUUGGUGGGGUAGUGGCUUACCAAGGCUUUGACGGGUAGCCGGCCUGAGAGGGUGACCGGCCACAUGGGGACUGAGAUACGGCCCAGACUCCUACGGGAGGCAGCAGUGGGGAAUAUUGCACAAUGGGCGGAAGCCUGAUGCAGCAACGCCGCGUGCGGGAUGACGGCCUUCGGGUUGUAAACCGCUUUCGCCUGUGACGAAGCGUGAGUGACGGUAAUGGGUAAAGAAGCACCGGCUAACUACGUG